AGUGAACGCUGGCGGUAGGCCUAACACAUGCAAGUCGAACGGCAGCACAGUAAGUGCUUGCUCUUAUGGGUGGCGAGUGGCGGACGGGUGGGGAAUACAUCGGAAUCUACUUUUUCGUGGGGGAUAACGUAGCGUGACUUACGCUAAUACCGCAUACGACCUACGGCAGAAAGCAGGGGAUCUUCGGACCUUGCUCGAUUGAAUGAGCCGAUGUCGGCGUAGCUAAUUGGCGGGGUAGAGGCCCACCAAGGCAACGAUCCGUAGGGGGUGUGAGAGGAUGAGCGGCCACACUGAAACUGAGACACGGUCCCGACUCAGACGGGAAGCAGCAGUAGGGGAUAUUGAACAAUGGGAGGAAGCGUGAGCCAGCGGCAGCGCGUGGGUGAAGAAGACCUUCGGGUUGGAAAGCCCUUUUGUUGGGAAAGAAAAGCAGGACGUUAAGACCGCGGUGUUGUGACGGUACCGAAAGAAUAAGCACCGGCUAACUUCGUG
rnacentral:rRNA from 1 species